rnacentral:rRNA from 1 species
GUGUCAUCCGCCGCGGUAAUACAGGGGGUGCAAACGUUGCUCGGAAUUAUUGGGCGUAAAGCGCGCGUAGGCGGCUACUUAAGUCGGAUGUGAAAGCCCCUGGCUCAACUGGGGAAGUGCACCCGAAACUGAGUGGCUUGAGUGCGAAAGAGGGUCGCGGAAUUCCCGGUGUAGAGGUGAAAUUCGUAGAUAUCGGGAGGAACACCGGUGGCGAAGGCGGCGACCUGGGUCGACACUGACGCUGAGGCGCGAAAGCGUGGGGAGCAAACAGGAUUAGAUACCCCUGUAGUCC